rnacentral:rRNA from 1 species
AUUGAACGCUGGCGGCAGGCCUAACACAUGCAAGUCGAGCGACCGGCGGACGGGUGAGUAAUGCCUGGGAAUUGCCCAGUCGAGGGGGAUAACAGUUGGAAACGACUGCUAAUACCGCAUAUGAUCGGAUUGCCAAGGUGGGAUUAGCUAGUUGUUGAGGUAAUGGCUCACCAAGGCGACGAUCCCUAGCUGGUCUGAGAGGAUGAUCAGCCACACUGGAACUGAGACACGGUCCAGACUCCUACGGGAGGCAGCAGUGGGGAAUAUUGCACAAUGGGGGAAAGCCUGAUGCAGCCAGGCCGCGUGUGUGAAGAAGGCCUUCGGGUUGUAAAGCACUUUCAGUUGGGAGGCGUUACUCACAGAAUAAGCACCGGCUAACUCCGUGCCAGCAGCCGCGGUAAUUC